rnacentral:ncRNA from 1 species
GCGUUUCGGGUCUGUGGUUGAAAAUCCAGGCCAGGCACGGGCGAAAGGAUCCACGUAAGCAGCGAGAAGAGCUUGCUGUGAGCAUGGCGUGCUUUAGAAGUAAGUCCUCCGAAAAUCGGGUUAAGGCAAGUGUGGGGGCAAAGACCAGGUCAGCCGAAAAUGC